UACGGGGGGGGCAAGCGUUGUUCGGAAUUACUGGGCGUAAAGGGCUCGUAGGUGGCCAACUAAGUCGGACGUGAAAUCCCUCAGCUUAACUGGGGAACUGCGUCCGAUACUGGAUGGCUUGAGUUUGGGAGAGGGAUGCGGAAUUCCAGGUGUAGCGGUGAAAUGCGUAGAUAUCUGGAGGAACACCGGUGGCGAAGGCGGCAUCCUGGACCAAUAUUGACGCUGAGGAGCGAAAGCCAGGGGAGCAAACGGG
rnacentral:rRNA from 1 species